GAGGAAUGUAUGGCAAUAGCUAGUUGCAUCAUAGUAGAUAUGAUGCAAGAUCGACUAUGUUGAANAAAAUUCUAGGUAGAAUUAUGAUAAUGACAUUGUCUGCCUAUGUGUCUUGACCAAAUUACGUGCCAGCAGUCGCGGUAAUACGUAGAAGACUAGUGUUAUUCAUGAUUAAUCGGUUUAAAGGGUACCUAGACGGUAGAUCAAGCUUUCUAAUAAAGGAAAAGGACUAGUUUNCUAGAGUUACUUAUGAGGGGGUAUUAAAGUACUGCUGGUGUAGAGAUGAAAUUCUGUCAUACCUCUUUUCAAAAGAAAAACCAUGGCACAGGUAUAGGCGAAGGCAUCCCCUUAUGUGAUAACUGACGUUGAGGGACGAAGGCUUUGUGUANCGAACAGGAUUAGAUACCCCAGUAGUCGAAGCAGAAAAUGAUGAAUGUCAUAGAUUANAUAUAUAAGUUUAUUCUAUAAAUGAAAGUGUAAGCAUUCCACCUCAUGAGUAAUUUGGCANCAUUGGAACUGAAAUCAUUAGACCGUUUCUGAAACCAG
rnacentral:rRNA from 1 species